rnacentral:rRNA from 1 species
GACGAACGCUGGCGGCGUGCUUAACACAUGCAAGUCGAGCGGUAAGGGCCCUUUCGGGGGUACGACCGAGCGGGCGAACGGGUGAGUAACACGUGGGUGGACCUGCCCUCAGCUCUGGGACAAGCCUGGGAAACGUGGGUCUAAUAACCGGAUAUGACUCCAUGACGCAUGUUGUGGGGUGGAAAGGCCUUGUGCGGCUGAGGAUGGGCCCGCGGCCUAUCAGCUUGUUGGUGGGGUGAGGCCUACCAA